UACGUAGGGUGCAAGCAUUAAUCGGAUUUAUUGGGCGUAAAGGGCGCGUAGGCGGAAAUGCCAGUCAGAUGUGAAAGCCCGGGGCUCAACCCCGGAACAGCAUUUGAAACUACAUUUCUAGAGGGUAGGCGGAGAAAACGGAAUUCCACAAGUAGCGGUGAAAUGCGUAGAUAUGUGGAAGAACACCAGUGGCGAAGGCGGUUUUCUAGCUUAUACCUGACGCUGAGGCGCGAAAGCAAGGGGAGCAAAC
rnacentral:rRNA from 1 species